UUUAGAGUUUGAUUCCAUGGCUCAGGAUGAACGCUGGCGGCGUGCUUAACACAUGCAAGUCGAACGAUGAUCCCAGCUUGCUGGGGGAUUAGUGGCGAACGGGUGAGUAACACGUGAGUAACCUGCCCUUGACUCUGGGAUAAGCCUGGGAAACUGGGUCUAAUACCGGAUACGACCAUCUGGCGCAUGUCAUGGUGGUGGAAAGCUUUUGUGGUUUUGGAUGGACUCGCGGCCUAUCAGCUUGUUGGUGGGGUAAUGGCCUACCAAGGCGACGACGGGUAGCCGGCCUGAGAGGGUGACCGGCCACACUGGGACUGAGACACGGCCCAGACUCCUACGGGAGGCAGCAGUGGGGAAUAUUGCACAAUGGGCGAAAGCCUGAUGCAGCGACGCCGCGUGAGGGAUGACGGCCUUCGGGUUGGAAACCUCUUUCAGUAGGGAAGAAGCGAAAAAACGGACCUGCUAAGAGCGCCG
rnacentral:rRNA from 1 species